UUAAGGUAAGAGACAAUACUGUGUCCUUGGCAGAAAUUUCUGGAGGUCAGUUUGGAGCCCAGUUCAGCAAAUGAUUAUCUGUGGCUGUUCCUGCUACUGGUGCCUGUGGACUUCAAAGAAGAAAAAUCAAGAAACUGAGUAAAUGGUAUGGAAAAAACCUGGAUAUUGGAUUGAAGAUCUUAACAGUUGCUGCUCUUUGAGAAGCUAGUUUCUGUAGAUCGAAAUUCAACUUCCAUUGUAAGCCCUAGUGAGUGUGAAUAAAAUGUUCUCG